rnacentral:rRNA from 1 species
CAGCCGCCGCGGUAAAACGAAGGGGGCUAGCGUUGUUCGGAAUUACUGGGCGUAAAGCGCACGUAGGCGGAUCGAUCAGUCAGGGGUGAAAUCCCAGGGCUCAACCCUGGAACUGCCUUUGAUACUGUCGAUCUGGAGUAUGGAAGAGGUGAGUGGAAUUCCGAGUGUAGAGGUGAAAUUCGUAGAUAUUCGGAGGAACACCAGUGGCGAAGGCGGCUCACUGGUCCAUUACUGACGCUGAGGUGCGAAAGCGUGGGGAGCAAACAGGAUUAGAUACCCCGGAGUCCCUGUCUCUUAUACA